rnacentral:rRNA from 1 species
GAUGAACGCUGGCGGCGUGCCUAAUACAUGCAAGUCGAGCGAACAGACGAGGAGCUUGCUCCUCUGACGUUAGCGGCGGACGGGUGAGUAACACGUGGAUAACCUACCUAUAAGACUGGGAUAACUUCGGGAAACCGGAGCUAAUACCGGAUAACAUGUUGAACCGCAUGGUUCAACAGUGAAAGACGGUCUUGCUGUCGCUUAUAGAUGGAUCCGCGCCGCAUUAGCUAGUUGGUAAGGUAACGGCUUACCAAGGCAACGAUGCGUAGCCGACCUGAGAGGGUGAUCGGCCACACUGGAACUGAGACACGGUCCAGACUCCUACGGGAGGCAGCAGUAGGGAAUCUUCCGCAAUGGGCGAAAGCCUGACGGAGCAACGCCGCGUGAGUGAAGAAGGUCCUCGGAUCGUAAAACUCUGUUAUUAGGGAAGAACAAAUGUGUAAGUAACUAUGCACGUCUUGACGGUACCUAAUCAGAAAGCCACGGCUAACUACGUG